GACGGAGGAUGCAAGCGUUAUCCGGAAUGAUUGGGCGUAAAGCGUGCGCAGGCGGUGAUGUAAGACAGUUGUGAAAUCCCCGGGCUCAACCUGGGAAUUGCAUCUGUGACUGCAUCGCUAGAGUACGGUAGAGGGGGAUGGAAUUCCGCGUGUAGCAGUGAAAUGCGUAGAUAUGCGGAGGAACACCGAUGGCGAAGGCAAUCCCCUGGACCUGUACUGACGCUCAUGCACGAAAGCGUGGGGAGCAAACAGG
rnacentral:rRNA from 1 species